rnacentral:rRNA from 2 species
UAGUGGCAGACGGGUGAGUAAUAUAUAGGAAUCUACCUAGUAGUACGGAAUAAUUGUUGGAAACGGCAACUAAUACCGUAUACGCCCUACGGGGGAAAAAUUUAUUGCUAUUAGAUGAGCCUAUAUUAGAUUAGCUAGUUGGUGGAGUAAUAGCCUACCAAGGCAAUGAUCUAUAGCUGAUCUGAGAGGAUGAUCAGCCACACUGGAACUGAGAUACGGUCCAGACUCCUACGGGAGGCAGCAGUGGGGAAUAUUGGACAAUGGGCGAAAGCCUGAUCCAGCCAUGCCGCAUGAGUGAAGAAGGCCUUUGGGUUGUAAAGCUCUUUUAGUGAGGAAGAUAAUGACGGUACUCACAGAAGAAGUCCUGGCUAACUCCGUGCCAGCAGCCGCGGUAAUACGGAGAGGGCUAGCGUUAUUCGGAAUUAUUGGGCGUAAAGGGCGCGUAGGCUGGUUAGUAAGUUAAAAGUGAAAUCCCGAGGCUUAACCUUGGAACUGCUUUUAAAACUGCUAACCUAGAGAUUGAAAGAGGAUAGAGGAAUUCCUAGUGUAGAGGUGAAAUUCGUAAAUAUUAGGAGGAACACCAGUGGCGAAGGCGUCUAUCUGGUUCAAAUCUGACGCUGAGGCGCGAAGGCGUGGGGAGCAAACAGGAUUAGAUACCCUGGUAGUCCACGCUGUAAACGAUGAAUGUUAAAUAUGGGAAGUUUACUUUCUGUAUUACAGCUAACGCGUUAAACAUUCCGCCUGGGGACUACGGUCGCAAGAUUAAAACUCAAAGGAAUUGACGGGGACCCGCACAAGCGGUGGAGCAUGUGGUUUAAUUCGAUGCAACGCGAAAAACCUUACCACUCCUUG